ACGGCUCAGUAACACGUGGACAACCUACCCUGAGGUCGGGGAUAAACCCGGGAAACUGGGUAUAAUACCCGAUAGAUCUAGAUCGCUGGAAUGCUUUUAGGUCUAAAGUUCCGACGCCUCAGGAUGGGUCUGCGGCCUAUCAGGGUAGUAGUGGGUGUAAAGUACCUACUAGCCUACGACGGGUACGGGUUGUGAGAGCAAGAGCCCGGAGAUGGAUUCUGAGACACGAAUCCAGGCCCUACGGGGUGCAGCAGGCGCGAAACCUUUACAAUGCUGGCAACAGCGAUAAGGGGACCUCGAGUGCUACGAUACAAUCGUGGCUGUCUAGUUGCCUAAAAAGCAAUUGAUAGCAAGGGCCGGGCAAGACCGGUGCCAGCCGCCGCGGUAACACCGGCGGCUCGAGUGGUAACCGCUAUUAUUGGGUCUAAAGGGUCUGUAGCCGGCUUAGUUAGUCUCUUGAGAAAUCUGGCCGCUCAACGGUCAGGCGUUCAGGGGAUACUGCUAAAGCUCGAGACCGGGAGAGGUGAGAGGUACUUCAGGGGUAGGGGUGAAAUCUUGUAAUCCUUGAAGGACCACCAGUGGCGAAGGCGUCUCACCAGAACGGAUCUGACGGCAAGGGACGAAAGCUAGGGGCACGAACCGGAUUAGAUACCCGGGUAGUCCUAGCCGUAAACGAUACUCGCUAGGUGUCGGCCACGGUGCGACCGUGGUCGGUGCCGUAGGGAAGCCGUGAAGCGAGCCACUUGGGAAGUACGGCCGCAAGGCUGAAACUUAAAGGAAUUGGCGGGGGAGCAC
rnacentral:rRNA from 1 species